GACGGAGGGGGCUAGCGUUGUUCGGAAUUACUGGGCGUAAAGCGUGCGUAGGCGGCCUUAUCAGUUGGGUGUGAAAGCCCGGGGCUCAACCCCGGAAAUGCGCCCAAUACUGUUUGGCUGGAGUCCGGCAGAGGUGAGUGGAACUCCCAGUGUAGAGGUGAAAUUCGUAGAUAUUGGGAAGAACACCAGUGGCGAAGGCGGCUCACUGGACCGGUACUGACGCUGAGGCACGAAAGCGUGGGGAGCAAACAGG
rnacentral:rRNA from 1 species